AGAGGAAGGUGAUUAGACAUGACAUGGAGCAGUUACAAGCUUACUGCGGACAUGACCCUAGAUAGAAAGGUGUGGAGGUCGCGGAUAACGGUAGAAGGCUAGUGUGUGUGGGUGAGUCGUAGCAAGUAGUUAGAAGAGCUUUUGUGUAGUCGGGUUAGUAAUCUUAGGAAUAUGGGCAUAGGUAGGAGCUGUUAGUUAGGAGAGUUUGGGUGUGGUGGGUGUCUUUGGUCUGUGAGUGUAUAGUACUACUGUGUGGGUGUCUUAUUUCUAUUUUUAUUAUUUCUCAUUUCUUAUUCCUUAUUCCUGUUAUGCCAUCCAUCCUGUUUCAUGUUUCAUUGUGACCUUGUUUACUAUUCUUUAUCUUGAGCUGGGGGUCUAUUGGAAAUAGUCUCUCUACUUCUUCGGAGGUAGCGGUAUGGACUGCGUACAUUUUACCUUCCCCAGACCCCACUUUGUGGGAAUACACUGGGUUUGUUGUUGUUGUUGUUGUACUUUUUCUAUAAAACUAGGCUGCUUAUAGUUCAAAAACCACACCCUUAAGGUUGCUAAAUUGAUAUUGGAUAUUUUACCAAAAAAUCUUGAAAUGAAUUCUGUUUUGUGUAAUUUGUCCUUGUCUGUGUUAGUAACACGUUUUCUCGCUUUCCUUGUUCUUUUCACUGUUUCCAGAACAGGGUGGUCUUUGAUAUGUCUAGUAGGCAAGAUUCAGAUGUUGAUGAUGAUUUCAGUGAUCUUUACAAGGAAUAUACUGGACCUGUUAGAUCCAACACAACAAAGCCACAAGAUAAAACAGUGACAGAAAGGAGGCCUCAUGUUGGUUCAGAUGAGGAAGAAGAGGAUGCCCGCGACCCCAAUGCUGUCCCGACGGAUUUUACUAGCAGGGAAGCGAAGGUUUGGGAAGCUAAAUCCAAAGCAACUGAGAGAAACUGGAAGAAACGGAAGGAGGAAGAAAUGAUUUGUAAAAUAUGUGGAGAGUCAGGCCACUUUACUCAGGGAUGUCCAUCUACUCUAGGAGCGAGUCGCAAGUCUCAAGAUUUCUUUGAGAGAGUGCCUGCAAGGGAAAACCAUGUGAAAGCUUUAUUCACUGAGAAAGUUAUAAAUCAAAUUGAAAAGGAUGUUGGCUGCAAAAUCAAACUAGAGGAGAAGUUUAUUAUCGUCAGCGGGAAGGACAGAUUGAUCCUAAGAAAAGGAGUGGAUGCUGUGCAUAAAAUUAAAGAAGAGGCUGACAAAAAGGGUCCUUCUAGUUCUCAGGUGUCCCGAUCAAGGUCACCUGAGCGCCGAAGUCCUGUCAGAUCUCGUAGUCCUGUCAGAUCUCGUAUGGCACGUUCUGAUUCUCAGAGAUCCAAUCACAGUCCCCAGAGUGCAUCACAGUUGCACCAUAGGUAUGGAAGACAAGAGAAGGUCGUUGAUGAUCGCGGUCAUGAUGAUUUUCACAAAAUUGCAAGGGGUAAUUCACAAGCAAGAGCUUAUGGUAAUGAUGGAGCUAGAGGUCGAUCAAGCCUGUCAAAGUCUCCUGCACGCCCCGCUUAUAUGAGUAACUCGUAUAGUUCAUAUGAUGGUCAUGGUCAGGGCAGGGAUAUCUAUAGAUCUGAUGGUUGGGAUGCGAGUAGACGUGGAUCUGACAUGAAACCUAACCGUGAUUUUGACCACCCCGUUCCACAAUCAUUGGAGAGUGUUGAAUUGGAAUACCAAAAGGACGCCAUAGAUCUAGGAAGAAUUCGGGACAAGGAAGAAGAUGAAGAAAAUCAUAAGCAUAGAGAGGCCAUCAGGGAAAUAAGAGGAAACUACAUGAAGAAAUUGGCCGUCCUUAGAGUUGAACAUGCAAAGCAAUGGGAAGAGUUUCUUCAACUUGAUGCACUAAGGAGGCAACAGCUGGCAGAACAACGUAUGUCAACCUCUGGGUUUGGUGGUUACAAUCAACAGAGUUAUCAAGAGUAUGAGAACUCUGCAGCUAAUCCACAUUAUUCUGGGCCCAACAUACCAAUGGAACCAAGGGGAAGGUAUCCAAACCCUAUGGAUAACUACCACCCAUCAAGGCCACAUGACAGUUACGACUUUCAGCGUCAGAGGCGUGAUGAUUUUGGGAAAGCCUAUAAUCGGUACUAGAUGGGUAGAUUGGAGUUUUAUAUGGUGAGUUGUCUUACCCUUUUGACAAGCUGAGAGUCCUAAGUCCAUUUCACGUUUCACCUAAAGCAUUGGCUCUGCCAUUUUUAGAUUGGAUGCAAGUUGUUGGAUUCCGAGGUUUCAACUGUGAUGAAUCAGAGUCUGGACAAGUUAUGUUUGGAGAUGUAGAAAGAUCAUGAGAGAUGCUGAUUAUGGUACCAUUGAGGUUGUAAAGACAAUUGAAUCAGUGUUCUUAUUUGGGGGUUAGUGGGGUGGUAGUGAAAGUUUGAGCUCUUGCAUGAGAUUUGGAAAUUCUGAAUAUCAUGGUAUAGUUGCCUGCUUUGCAGUUUUUUUUCGAUAACGCCUAUGCUCAAGAAGCUUUUGAUCAAAUGAUGAGUGGUACAAUUUUCAUAA